rnacentral:lncRNA from 1 species
CUUCAAAUUGGCUAUUAAAUUGGAAAAUUGCAGGGAUAAAAGACAUCUUUGUUUAUGUGGUUUUUUGUUUUGUUUUGUUUUGUUUUUGUUUCGGAUCAGAAAACAUGGCUUUCCAUGCUGAGAUCUUGAGUGUAUUUGACUGACUAGAGGUAUCAAAGACUUUGCCGGCACUAUAUGUAACUUUGGCUUGGGGCUGAGCAUAUACCUUUUCACGUCAAAGUGUUUACAUUUCUGAGGAACCAUUUUAAUUUUAGGAUGUCACGAAUUGUAGUCCCAAAGUACAGCUUCAUGUCUAAAUAUGCUAUUGAAACUACAAAUUCUGCUUUCACAAAUUAUGACUUCUGUUUUAUUUUUCUUUUUAAACAAACAUAGCGGCUAAACCAAAGUUUAAUACUUUUCAUUCUUUCCUAUAAAACAACAAAGUGUUGGCAUCUCCUGGAUAUACACGUCUCUAAAUGUUUAUCAACUACCUGAUCAGAAGAGUCAAAACUGCAUGAUAUUAAUAUUUUUUCUUUACCUAUAAUUUUAUUGAAUAUAAGCACUGAAAAGUGAUACAAGUAAUGGUAAUUUUUAGUAUUUAAUAUGGCAUUUUUCCAUCCGUAAAAUGUUUUAUCACCAUCGGGUAGUUAACCUUCUAACAUCAUCAUGAAUUAAUUAGUUCAGUUAGGUUCAUAUCUCAUAUUACUCAGAAGGAAUUUUCCUUUUGUAUCUAUGGCUGGAAAAUGUACUGAAAUGUUGCUUUUAAUACAAAGGUAAUACUUAACUCUUCAGCUUUCAUGUGAUCUUCUUCAUUGAAUAGCCUGGGAAACGGAAGAUUGUGUACUAUUUGGGGCAGAAAGCCUCAUUUUGAGGGCUUAAUAUUUCUCUCAGAAUUUGUAACUGUGUGACUUUUAGUGAACUGCCUGAGCCUUCUGAUCCUCAGUUUCCCCAUCUGUAAAGUGGUGAUAAUAAUACAUCAUAUCUACUUUGAUAUUGCCAUAAAGAGAUCAAA